UUUUUCUGCUAUUGAUAACAAUGAGCCGGCAGCUAGCUCUCUGCAACUCUCACAUGGUCGCCCACCCGGUCAGUACCUGGAUGGGAGACCUCAUGGGAAAGCUAGGUUGCUGAUGGAA
rnacentral:rRNA from 1 species